ACGCCGUGACUGCGUCGAUAACAGCAGGUUUGGGGAGACCCAACGACGGCGU
rnacentral:ncRNA from 1 species